GUUACAUGAUGAAAUGUUUAACCGUUUUCUUUGACUUUCUCAAAUUGAAGUUUUUGUGACAAACAGAGCCCAAAUAAAAUGACGAAAUUGUGUGUGACGAAAUUUAGAGAAAGAGGCAAACGGAGACAGGUCCAAUUAUCAGGCUAAUGCAAUCGUCUGAAGCGUCCCCGAAAUUCCUGCGAAACCGAAUUCGUAUUCAGGAUUCUCCUAUGCGCAUGGCCGAACAUCAGAACAGCCCAGCAACAACAACAACAACCAACAGAUGCACUUGCUGUGCAUGCAACGAUGUGCAGCUAAGCGUGCGUGUUAACGCACGCUGUCGUGUGGAUGCAGCCUGUUCUCUAUGGGCUCUUCCUGGCCUAAGUACAACGCUCUUGCGGAUUUAGUUCUGCUUUUUGGCACUGCGAUUUCGGAACGACUUGAAAGUGGAUUGGAAAACGAAGGGGCUCGUUCAGUUCAAAUUCUCUAACCAUUCGCUCAAUAUCUUUCCCACGACGAUUCUACCAAUUCUACGAAACUCAAAGAGGUUUCGAGGUUUCAAAGAUCAGCCACUAAGAUAAUAAUAGCCACGUAGACCCAAAUGACAAAAUGCUGAAUUCAAACAAUUUUCUGGGAACUGUUAAUUCUGAUUCUUUAACAUCAUAACGGUUGUUGGAAAGCUUUUGUUUAAUAGCCACGUAGAAAGACCAUAUGCCUGGCCAUUAAUUUGUACAAAGUUAGAAAGAUCAUAGACAAAAUUAGCAUCAUCACACGCACGCGUUAUAAUUUUCCAAUAAGAGAAAUACAUUGCAGGAAUAACACCAACCAUACGACGACGACGUAACUUGGAUUUCUCAUAAAAACGCGGAAACAAUACUUGCUGGCGUUUUUGCAAAGAAAAAGAUUGAAACACCGGAUUAAUAGGAAUAGAGAGAAAUGGUAAUCGAAAAUGGUGGCCGCGGGGCUCGCUCUGCGCUAUUCCCCCGGAAACAAUAGGCAACCCGUGAGCGUCACGCGUGCAAAUCCAAGUGCAUUUCGUUGGGCGUGGAACAAUUGGAAGACCGCUAAUGAAAACGACCGCCGACCGGAUCAGAUUUAAUUUUAUUAAUAACCAAUACCAUCUAUCAGGGCUAAGCUACCAAUGAACGAAGAGCUACGACUCCUGGAGUGAUCUUACGCGUUCGAUUUACGGCACAUAAAUUCGUUGAGGCAUGCCUUAUCGUGUACCCCUUAGGGACUUCCGACUGGCUGACCCAAAUGUUCCAUCCGGAUUGACCCAGUUUCUCCUCCGAACGUCCUCGAGGUAUCUGUCUGGUUUAUCUGCACGGAAGGCAACCUUCCGUUUCGAAGUUUCAGUUUUAUCGUUGGAACGGCGAACAUUCCACGAAAAUGCGAAUUCGGCAAAUUUAACUUAUUAACCAGGGAACACCAGUUAACUGGAGCAACUAGCGUUUCUAACCACUUGGACAUAAUUUUUUAUUCCAAUCCUAAAUAUUUUAAUCCAUCGAUUUAAUUUUGAUAACCUGUGCGGAUAAAUUCCACGACAUUUAUACUCGUUGCGGUGAAAAUCGACAUUUUCGAGAUUUUGCGACAGAAGAGGAGUAACGUUAUAUAAAAUUAGUAAAAGUUUUCGUUCGUGGUUAUUCGUUAACCGUAACAGAUUGAACGAAUCCC
rnacentral:lncRNA from 1 species